rnacentral:lncRNA from 1 species
GACUUUGCUUGGUCUAAGUUGGAUAAUACUUAUCUUGCAUUUGGUGUAUGCUUGGACUAGGACUAGAUUUUUUUUCCCCAAAAAUAUAUAUAUAAAUGUCUAUAUGUAUAAAUAUAUAUUUUUUGUACGUGUAUAUAUGUAUUUUAUAAUAUAUAUAUAUUCCUUAUUUUAUUUGAGGGACACCCUUUAGGGUACCUAACGAAUUUUUUUUCC